UUUUCUACCCUUUUUAUUUGUUCUCGAAAGGACGUCGUUUACGCAUCUGAAAAAGUUUCGCCUUUAUUUAUUUUUUUUUGAGAGAAAUAUUUCACUUUUGGGCCUAUAACAAUUAUUCUUUAUGUACCCCAAUUUAUAUUUUUUUCCAAGCCCAAUUCUUUUGAAACUAUAUUUUGAAGCCCAAAUUUUUGGAGAGGAACCAAGUCAGUUUUAGCAAAACCCUAGCAACAAUCUAUAUAUAUAUCAUCAUCCCACGUUCACACGUGAUACACAGUUUUUUUCAACCAUCACUUUCAUUCAAAAUCUGGGCGAGACGGAGAGGGAGACAGAGACGAGCAUGGAGGGUACGGCGAGAAGGGACGACAGUAGCUGCGAGAAGGACAGCAGUCGUGCAGCGGUUCCGCGACAUCGGCGGCGGUGGUGCUAUGUUUUGCCGGCGACAAUCAGCGAAGGAGGAGAGAGACGGGACGGCGAAAGCACCGCGCGGCUGCUCGACGAGUCUCGAACAGCAGCGACGGCGACUUAGCUCGCACGAACGACAGUCGCGGGCUGAUGAAACUCCGAGAGUGCAGCGGCGGCGACCCCGGCUGUGGCGACGGGCUUUCGGCAACAGCCGCUGUGAUUCAUGGCGGCGCUGCAUGCGGGAGAGAAGGAGAACGGCGGUGUUGGCAGAGUUUCGCGAGCAGGCAGAGGCGCGAUGGAGCUUGGCCACGACGGCAUCGUCGCUGGACCAUGGUGAUUAUCGCGGCUGGAGAAGCGGCGAAUAAGGAACAGACGACGGAGACUGGGAGAGAGAUGGAGAAGGGAGAAGAGACCGAUUUUGAGGAAUUGAAAGAGGGAGAAAAGAUUAGAAAUUUCAAUCCCAUUCUGGAAUCUCACGUAUGGAGAUUGGAUUGGAGUUAUUUUGAGUCCGGGCUAAACUAAUUAAGUGGAAGAUUUGGGCCAGUAGCUAGGAGCUUCACGGAUUGAAUUAAAGAAUCAUAUUGUUGUGAUAGAGUCGGCUGACCUUAUGAUUAAUGUACGAGGAUUUCAGAAUUUUCUAUGUAAUGUCGAAGGGUAAGAUCUAAUAUCACAAGGAUACAUGCAUUAUUUUAAUUAAAUGUUUUGUUCUCUAAAGUCUAAUUUUUGCAUAUUAUGUUCUUCCAUAAAAAGGGUGAAUUUUUGGCAAGCUAUUUGAAAACAAAACGGCGGAAAGACGAGUUGAGGAGUUAAGAGAACGAGGUUGAGCGGUGACGAGCGCGGUGAGUGUUGAGCAGAG